rnacentral:tRNA from 1 species
GGGCCGGUAGCUCAGCCUGGUAGAGCAUCUGACUUUUAAUCAGGUGGUCGCGAGUUCGAAUAUUCCAUGCCCUUGAGGCUUGGAAUUUGGGAGUCUCGUCCGGCCCA